rnacentral:piRNA from 4 species
GGUCUAGUGGUUAGGAUUCGGCGCUCUC